rnacentral:rRNA from 1 species
GACGUAGGGCGCGAGCGUUGUCCGGAUUUAUUGGGCGUAAAGAGCUCGUAGGCGGCUUGUCGCGUCGGCUGUGAAAUCCCGUGGCUCAACUGUGGGCGGGCAGCUGAUACGGGCAGGCUGGAGUUCGGUGAGGGGAGUACGUGGAAUUCCUGGUGUAGCGGUGAAAUGCGCAGAUAUCAGGAGGAACACCGGUGGCGAAGGCGGAUCUCUGGGCCUGUCCGUGACGCUGAGGCGCGAAAGCUAGGGGGAGCGAACAGG